ACUGUAACGGUUGAACAUGACUGUACACCAAGAGCCAAGAAGAGUCAUACUAGUGGAUAUUUUCUUUGCUGGGACACGGUUGCGCUGAACCCUCUCGACGUCAACUUUUAUCGGCUGGAUUCUAGCAUCUAACGUUACGAUUGCCUCUGUUGGGUUUGCUUGAUCAACCAUCGUUUCGGGGACUCUGAUGACAGUGAAGAGACAGAAAAUGGUGACUUUGCAUCUCUGAGGUACCUUUCAACUCGCCUGGUAUAUCAGUUGAAGCCUCAAGCCCAAGCCAAUUGCACUGGCAAACUCCAUCAUCUCGCCGAGUGCCAGGCAGCCGAGUCACUACCCCUCAACCUGGAGAAAACUGUUAAGCACCUCACCAUGGGGCAGGACCGCAACACUCUUCACCACCUCAACUCCCUGCACCUGCACCUUCA